rnacentral:rRNA from 1 species
CCUACGGGAGGCUGCAGUGGGGAAUUUUCCGCAAUGGGCGCAAGCCUGACGGAGCGACGCCGCGUGAGUGAAGAAGGCCUUCGGGUUGUAAAGCUCUGUCCUAUGGGAAGAAGGAAGUGACGGUACCAUAGGAGGAAGCCACGGCUAACUACGUGCCAGCAGCCGCGGUAAUACGUAGGUGGCAAGCGUUGUCCGGAAUUACUGGGCGUAAAGGGCACGCAGGCGGUAUUUUAAGUCGAAUGUGUAAACUACGGGCUUAACCCGUAAUUGGAUUCGAAACUGGAAUACUUGAGGGUAGGAGAGGACAGUGGAAUUCCUAGUGUAGCGGUGAAAUGCGUAGAUAUUAGGAGGAACACCAGUGGCGAAGGCGGCUGUCUGGCCUACAACUGACGCUGAGGUGCGAAAGCGUGGGUAGCAAACAGGAUUAGAUACCCGAGUAGUC